rnacentral:rRNA from 1 species
UAGGGAAUAUCAGUAAUGGGCGAAAGCCUGAACUAGCAACGCCGCGUGUGCGAAGAAGGCCUUCGGGUUGUAAAGCACUUUUUGAGAGGAUGAGGAAGGACGGUACUCUCAGAAUAAGUCUCGGCUAACUACGUGCCAGCAGCCGCGGUAACACGUAGGAGGCAAACGUUAUCCGGAUUUACUGGGCGUAAAGCGCGUGUAGGUGGUUUGGUAAGUAGGGCGUGAAAGCUCCUGGCUCAACUGGGAGAGGACGUUCUAAACUGCCAAGCUUGAGGAUGGUAGAGGGAGGUGGAAUUCCGGGUGUAGCGGUGGAAUACGCAGAUAUCCGGAGGAACACCAGUGGCGAAGGCGGCCUCCUGGACCACUCCUGACACUCAGACGCGAAAGCUAGGGCAGCAAACGG